rnacentral:rRNA from 1 species
UCGAGGAUCAUUCGCAAUGGGCGCAAGCCUGACGAUGCGACGCUGCGUGGAGGAUGAAGGCCCUCGGGUCGUAAACUCCUGUCAUGAGGGAAAAAGAUGCCUGCGGUAACAUCAAUGGUAUCGGAUUGUACCUCAAGAGGAAGCCACGGCUAACUCUGUGCCAGCAGCCGCGGUAAUACAGAGGUGGCGAGCGUUGUUCGGAUUUACUGGGCGUAAAGGGCGCGUAGGCGGCGGCGUAUGCCGGGUGUGAAAUCCGUGGGCUCAACCCACGAAGUGCGCCCGGAACUGCGUCGCUCGAGGUCGGGAGGGGAGAGCGGAAUGCAGGGUGUAGCGGUGAAAUGCGUUGAUAUCCUGCAGAACACCGGUGGCGAAGGCGGCUCUCUGGAACGAUUCUGACGCUGAGGCGCGAAAGCUGGGGGAGCAAACAGG